rnacentral:tRNA from 1 species
AAAGCCCCAGUUCAAGGAACAUAAUUAUGUCAAAAUUAAAGAAGGAUGGCUUUUA